AGUAAGAUAGAGGCUGUUGCUAUGGCGAAGAUGGAACACGCCAGCCGCCACUCUUCGGCUAAAACACCGGCAAUCUUGGCGGUUUUUGAUGAAACUCGUCUCAUGAAGAGGGGGCAUUGAAGGGCCACCUGUCCCCCCGCCCCUCCAGUUCCCCACCAGGCUCAGAAACGUGCUGGCGGAGGCAGUGGAGAGCUAAUGAGAGCCACUCCUCGGUCCGGGCCACCAGGGGGCGCUGGUGAGUGAGACAUACCCUCGUCAUGAACUCACCCAGGGAGCUGUGGGCUGGCACUGCUCUGCCUCUUUCAUUCUC